UGGACACCUGUGUUCCACUUGCUCCC
rnacentral:piRNA from 1 species